AUAAUGAAAUGUUCUUAUCAGAGUUCCCGUUGUGGUGCAGUGGAAACAAAUCUGAUGAUGAACCAUGAGGUUGUGGGUUUGAUCCCUGGCCUUGCUCAGUGGGUUAAGGAUCUGGCGUUGCCAUGAGCUGUGGUAUAGGUUGCAGGUGAAGCUUGAAUCUCGCAUGGCUGUGGCUGUGGUAUAGGCCAGCAGCUGUAGCUUUGAUUCCAUCCCUAGCCUGGGAACCACUACAUACCUAGGGUGCGGCCCUAAAAAGCAAAAAAAAAAAAAAAAAAAAAAAAAAAAAAAAAUGUCCUUAUUGAAGCCUUUCUCACCUCCCUUAGAAAGUGUUACAUGUUUGCCUGAUCAUUUACCUUUAUUAUUAUUUUUUGGUUGUAUUCAUUCAUUUGUUUUAUUUUUAGAUUCUACAUAUAAAUUGAAACACAGUAUUUGUCUUUCUCUGUCUAACUUAUUUCACUGAGCAAAAUAUACUACAGGUCCAUCAAUGUUGUAAAUGGCAAAAUUUCACUCUUUUUUAUGGUUGAGUUCCAGGGAUGGAACCCACAACCUCAUGGUUCCUGGUUGGAUUCAUUAACCACUGAGCCACAACAGGAACUCUGAUUCCAUAUCUUCUUUAUCCAUUCAUCUGUUGAUGGAUGCCUUGGGUUGCUUCUAUAUCUUUGCUGUUGUAAACAAUGCUGCUAUGAACAUUGCAGUGCAUAUAUCUUUUUGAACUAGCAUUAUUUUCUUUGUAUGUAUAACCAGGAGUAGAAUUUCUAGAUCAUAUGGUACUUUUAUUUUUAAUUUUUUGUGGAAGUUCCAUACAGUUUUCCACAGUGGCUGUACCAAGUCACAUUCCCACCAACAGUGUAGAAGGGUUCCCUUUUCUUAAUAUUCUUGAGAACAUUUAUCAUAUCUUUCUUUCUUUCUUUUUUUUUUUUUUUUUUUUUUUGGCUGCACCCACAGCAUGUGGAAAUCCUGGACUGGGGGGUCUCGGGGAUUGAACUCACACCACAGCAGUGACUCAAGAUGCUGCAUGCUGCAGUGAUAAUGCUGGAUCCUAAACCCACUGUGCCAACAGAGAACUCCUAUUUUGAGUCUUUUUGAUGAUAGCCAUUCUGACAGGUGUGAGGUAAUGCCUCACUGGGGUCUUGAUUUGCAUUUCCCUCAUGAUUAGUGAUGUUGAGCAUCUUUUCAUGUCCCUGUUGGCCAUCUUCAUAUACCUUUAUACUAAGAUUUAACACACGUUAUUGACUGUCACCUCCAGAAACAACAUAUUCUAUCUCUAUCCUGUUAUCUAACAUAAUAGGCACAAGGUAGGCCUUAAGUAAAUGAGUAUAUGUAUAUGAAUGUGUUAACUUAAAUAAAUGGAUAAAUGAAUAGUUUCUUUCACACACAGAGAUGUCACUCAGAGAUGACCAUAUUCAGUUUGUCUUUUCUGUUCACAUGCAUAAAUAACACACUGACCUUAUCGGUAGAAAUCAUUCUAGCUCAUUUGGGAAGGAUUUUGUUGUGUUGGGUAGCUAUUGCCAGCAAAGAAGCAUUGGUGUGCUUGGAUAGACAGAAUUUAGUCUAAACUUCAGAAGUAAAGAUUGCUGAUGUUCAGCUAGCCACUGAAUUGAUGCUAUGAGCAGAAAAAUUAAAAGCAGCAAAGCAAUGGAAGCUUCAUGUCAGGGAACAGAAUAGUCAUGAGCCUAUCUUUGGCUUGAUCCUUAAUCAGAGACUUUGUAAAGUGGUUCUAGUAGUAGUCCCCCAGUUGUGAGUACAGUGACUGCAGGUAAAAAACAAAACAACAACAAAAACUUAACAGCAGUUAGAUAUUAUAAUUGCAACCACCUUGGAUUUUAAUCCCUUCACCAUUCUCCUUCAAUAUUUCCACUGUCACAUAUGGCUCAAGAAAUGAAGUCCUUUUAUAGUGGGUUUACGGAAAAUUAUCAGAUAAUAUCCAUAGAUAAGCAACACAUGAAUUUUUAAAGAUCAUUUCUAUUCUUAAUACUUUGUUUAAAAAAAUGACACCAACUUUCCUUGUCAUGAGUAUUAGUAUUUCAAAAUUGGGUUUGUUCAAACUAGUAAAUAAAUGAUAUAAUUGUGUUUCAUAUUUUGUUUGUUUCUAAGGCUAAAUAAUAAAUAAAUUCAGUAUAUCUGAAGUCUACUAGUGAAAGAUUUUGGACUGGCUGAGUGAAUAAAAAUCUGCUUUCAUUUUUUUCUUAUCUCUGCCCUCUAGCUUAAAUAAAUGAUGAAAUUAAGGUAAAUGAAACUAUUUGGUAAAGCCUAUAAUCUUUUGAGAAAAGAUCUUAGAGUUUAGUCUUUUCAACUUCCGGCCUGGCUCUUUGAGACUAUUGCCACUUUUCACAUGCCCCCUUUAAGUAGAGGAAAGGACAAAAAAAUGCAUGAGACAACUGUGAAGUAUUUUGCAAGAUUUUAAUAUUACUAGCAAACUUUCAUUCCCUUUGUUUAGUGGCCAGCUGUAGCUGACACAAAUAUAUAGUUGCUAGCUGCUAGCCUGCCUUGAGAGUGAGAUUUUAUAUGAAGAUGUAUUUAUGGCUAGUUUCUUUAUCUUUAUAUUGAAUAUAACACUUGCCAGUAUCUUUCAGCUUAUAAUUAUUUUGCUUCACAUCAAAGAACAACAUUAGAAAUCAAAGUCCAUUCAAUGUCAUGUGUGAUUCACAGCCUAUUUGCCGAUUUUAUAAAAGAUGCUUGUUUUUCUUUCUUUUCAACCCUCUUCCUCUUUUCCUUCUGUUCCUCUGCACCUGUCUACCCCCACUUCACAUUGUUUUAUUAUUUCAGUAUUAGUAAUAUAUACUAAUAUAUAUUAGAAAUAUAUAAAUGUCAGGAAAGAAAUUUUUUCCUGCCCAUCAGCCAGAUACACAAUCCAAGGAAACCUUAAUUUCUUGGCUCUUGGCAUCUAACUUUUACAGUUAGAUUGUUUGUGCUGAUGUCCUAGAGUGCUUGCUGAUUAAGGACAAUGUGGUUGGUACCAACAUGCCUUCACUUUCUUCUCCUUAGUGUGGAAUCCUAUAGCACUGUGGAACUUAUAAAUAAUUGAGUUAUUUUUAAACCACUGGAUGUUUUCCAGUCACUCUAUUUCACACUGGAUUAAUUAUGUAAGAAAACUGAAUUGUUCCUCACCAGUGUUACAACUUUUGAAAACAACAUGCUGUUUAAAUUCAACUUUGGCAACUGCAGCCCAAACCCCCUCAAAUUUAUGGCACCACACCCAUAGCAUAAUAAAACCUUUAGUGGUCCUUUGUCUUUUAGCUUGCCUUCUAUUUUUUUCUCAAGGGUGUUUUAGGCUGGAAGAUGCAAACAAAAGUUGUCCAGAUGUUAUUUGUAUCAGAGCAGGAUUUCAGUCCAGCUAUCUGUGGUUGCAAAUGUUUAUUUUAAUGGGUUAUUGUGCAAUCUUGCUGUGUAGACCUUCAUGGCCUUAUAUGCAUGUUCUCAGUGAUGCCAGGACAUUGUUUUUUAAAAGAUAUCAUUUUAGUCCAAUUGAAAGAUUACUAGUCACUAGGGGAGCAAAAAAAUGUAACACCUGUAGAAACACAAGGAUGUUUUUGCCGAUGCCCCCAUUUUGACACUGCGCAAACUGCCUGAUUAUGAAACAAUGACCAAUGUGCUUUAGGUAAGCAGGAGGGAGGAAGGUGUGGUCCAUGCCCUAGCAACAGUCCAGGCCCGAGACAGUUACUCAGUUACAGGGCUGCAGUAAACAUAGCAAAGGGGCUGGGAAAAAAAAAAAAAAAAGCCAGCUGCUGCCCCAUGCCGUUUGAUGGAAUGAAAGAGGCGCUCAGCUAAGUCACUGUAGUGUGAGCUGAGAGUUUAUUUUAGCUCUUAUAACAAGCGUGGAGCUGGACUUAUUAUUCAUUUUUAGAAUUCUAAUAAAAUCUUAACUGGUAUUUCAUUGAUACUAAAGUAAAUUGUUUACCCUGUAUCUAAAAACACGUAUUAUGUCCAAUGUACCAAUUAGAAGUGAGGAAAUUCUAGUCCUUAAAAUAAAUGUUGAAACUAAAUUACCUCAUAUGAAAAUGGAUUUGGUUUUUGAGAAAGUGCUAAAUUGGAGCUAUUAGUUUUCACUGAGAAUUUAUUCCAAAUCAAAAGAUGCUUCUAGUACAUAUGCGAAAGACACGUUCUCUGCU
rnacentral:lncRNA from 1 species